rnacentral:sRNA from 1 species
CCCGGGCUCCGCCCCAGAGCGUACUGUGGCGGUACUCUCCGAGCUGCGGUCGGUGAGCGCCCGCGAAGGCGACGGCGCUACGUUCGAGUGCACCGUGUCGGAGGUCGAGAUCACGGGGCGCUGGGAGCUCGGAGGCCGCCCGCUGAGACCCGGAGCCCGCGUCCGCAUCCGACAGGAAGGGAAGAAACACAUUCUGGUGCUUAGCGAGCUGCGCGCCGAGGACGCCGGUGAAGUCCGCUUCCAGGCGGGGCCCGCCCAGUCCCUGGCUCUACUGGAAGUGGAGGCAUUGCCUCUCCAGAUGUGCCGCCACCCCCCUCGCGAGAAGACCGUUCUGGUGGGCCGCCGGGCGGUGCUGGAGGUGACUGUGUCCCGCUCGGGGGGCCACGUGUGCUGGCUGCGGGAGGGGGCCGAGCUGUGCCCGGGAGAUAAGUAUGAGAUGCGCAGCCACGGCCCCACCCACAGCCUGGUCAUCCAUGACGUUCGACCUGAGGACCAAGGCACUUACUGCUGCCAGGCCGGCCAGGACAGCACCCACACACGGCUGCUGGUAGAGGCCCCAUGUGGAGUCAUUCCUCUGCAGGUAACUAGGAGGACCUAACCAGACCAGGCGGGUGCCCUUGGACAGCUUGGAAGGCGUUUGCCCUUACCGUGGGCAGGGGUAGAGAGACAAGGAACAAUAAAAGUGCUACAGCUC